GUGACAAGAAUUGGGCCUUUUUGUUGACUGAUCAUUCAUAUGAUGGCUUUGUCUGUUCUCAUCACCAUAAGUGCGUGUCAGGAAGCCUUCCAAUACAUUCUCUGAGCAUCCUGUACUGCCUCCUGUUACAGUAUUUAUCUCAUGAGGUUGCAGUUGCCUAUCUUCCCUCCCGUACUGUAAGCUGCUUGAGGGCAGAGGCUGUCUUUUCCUGUUCCUUCUUUUCUUUUUUUAACCCGCAAGUCUAGCAUAAUAUACAACCAUUGUAAGAACAUAACACCAACCAUCAAAUUGAAGUGGACUACAGCUUUUAACCACAAAAUUCACAACUAUCUACAAUAAGCCCAAAUGAAGUUAUUUGAAGACGGCAGUACUAUUCAUAUUGUAAUAAGGAUGGAGUUAUAUGAGACAGCAUAGCAACUAAAGUUACAGAUCCUGCCUAUGUCCUGCAGCACAUCCUGGGCUCACUCGGCAUUGAGUGCACCACCCCAUCUGAGUCUUUGCUUCCUCGGUGUAAAGAAGACUUGCUCACCCCCUGGUCCUCAGCCUGUGUACACAAGCCUGAAUGUAAGGUGUCAAUGGCUCAAUUCCCAAUUCCUUGUUCUGUGGUAGGGCAGUCCUAGGGUGUAGUCUACUGGAUACUCAGGAAUUGGGAUUGGCUUCAAGUGCCCACUGUAGUACCCACUUUUGUUUUGCUUCCUUUUCUCUCUCACUUUCUCACUGCCUCAGUUGUACCUCCUGGGAUCACCUCCCGGAAAAUCUCUAGAACCCAAGAGCUCAUCUUCAAGUUUGCUUUUCAGGGAACACAAACGAAGACACCAAUCUGUGCUGAACAAAGUGCUUCUCAGUAAAGGAGCAACAGGUGUAGUUCAGAGCCAUCUGGUAACUCUCAGCAAAUCCUUCUCGGUGUACCUCACAGAUGUCGAGCUUGAAUAACUCAUCGAAAAGGUCUUAUCAUGAGGAAAACAACAGACAAACCCAAACUGAGGGACUAUCUACAAAACACCUGACCAGCACAUGUCCAAGCUGUCAAAAGUCAUGAAAAAUAAGGAAAAUCUGAAAAACUAUAGGAGCUAAAAGGACACUAAGGAAACGUGGUGACUAAGUGUGAUCCUUCAACAGAAAGAGAGAUUAGUUAAAAAUUAAGGGCAUUUGAAUAAAGUGUCAGGUUAGUCAACAAUAAUGAAGCAAUAUUACUUUGAUAAUUUCCACAAAAAUCUCAAAAGGUGAAUGGGGAGGGGAAGGGACGUUAUAUACACAUAGAACUAUCCACAAUGAAUGUAAUCAUUAUCCACUAUAAAUAUGU